GACGAACGCUGGCGGCGUGCCUAAUACAUGCAAGUAGAACGCUGAAGGAGGAGCUUGCUUCUCUGGAUGAGUGGCGAACGGGUGAGUAACGCGUAGGUAACCUGCCUGGUAGUGGGGGAUAACUAUUGGAAACGAUAGCUAAUACCGCAUAAGAGUAGAUGUUGCAUGACAUUUGCUUAAAAGGUGCACUUGCAUCACUACCAGAUGGACCUGCGUUGUAUUAGCUAGUUGGUGGGGUAACGGCUCACCAAGGCGACGAUACAUAGCCGACCCGAGAGGGGGGUCGGCCAACCUGGGACUGGGGCCCGGCCCAGACCUCCUAGGGAGGCAGCAGGAGGGAAUCUUCGGAAAUGGACGGAAGUCUGAACGCGCAAAGCCGGGUGAGGGAAGAAGGGUUUCGGAUCGUAAAGGUCUGUUGUAAGAGAAGAAAGAGUGUGAGAGUGGAAAGUUCACACUGUGACGGUAUCUUACCAGAAAGGGACGGCUAACUACGUG
rnacentral:rRNA from 1 species